rnacentral:rRNA from 1 species
AGUGACCGCUGGCGGCAGGCCUAACACAUGCAAGUCGAGCGAGCGGCGCACGGGUGAGUAAUGUCUGGGAAACUGCCUGAUGGAGGGGGAUAACUUUUGGAAACGGUAGUUAAUCCCGCUUCCCAUCAGUGGUGCCCAUCUGGGAUUAGCUGUUAGGUGGGUUAACGGCUCACCUAGGCGACGAUCCCUAGCUGGUCUGAGAGGAUGACCAGCCACACUGGAACUGAGACACGGUCCAGACUCCGACGCGAGGCAGCAGUGGGGAAUAUUGCACAAUGGGCGCAAGACUGAUGCAGCCAUGCCGCGUGUGGGAAGAAGGCCUUCGGGUUGUAAAGGACUUUCAGCGGGGAGGCGUUACCCGCAGAAGAAGCACCGGCUAACUCCGUGCCAGCAGCCGCGGUAAUUC